rnacentral:lncRNA from 1 species
GGAGGAAUUCUACACUGUCACACUUGCACCACGUCAUCAAUAACAAGCCAAUCAUACUCCUUCUUUUCAAAUAAAAGUACAAUAAAAAUACUUUUUUACAAUCAUGAUGGGACAUAUAUUUUUAAAAGGAUUAAUUUGAUUGGUUUGUUACGCCACAUCACUAAUAUACCCGUUGCAUUCUAGAAUUGUCCUUUCCACGAUGCCCAGCAAUAACCAGUAGAAAUACUAAUUUAUCAAAAAAAAAAAAAAAAUUUGACAGUUGGUGUUGGACAUUUUAAAAAAUUUAAAACUUAAUCAUUUUAUAUUUUAAUAUACUUUAUUUUUAAAAAUAAACGAAACGAAUAAUGUAUAAUUUUUUUUAAAAAAAUCUCAACUUACGUCUUUUUCAAUAAUGAUAAUAAUAAUAAUAAUAAUAGAGCUAAAAUAUUAUUUAA